CACGUAGGGGCCAAGCGUUGUCCGGAUUUAUUGGGCGUAAAGAGCUCGUAGGCGGUUGGGUAAGUCGGGUGUGAAAACUCCAGCUUAACUUGGAGACGCCACCCGAUACCUGCUCCUGACUUGAGUUCGGUAGGGGAGUGGGGAAUUCCUGGUGUAGCGGUGAAAUGCGCAGAUAGUCAGGAGGAACACCGGUGGCGAAGGCGCCACUCUGGGCCGAAACUGACGCUGAGGAGCGAAAGCGUGGGGAGCGAACAGG
rnacentral:rRNA from 1 species